CAACCAACAAGUGGAGGGGAAGCUGCUAAUGUGGAGGAUUGUAUUACAGAGGUUGAUGAAGACACGAUUAAAGCAGUAGUACCAGAUGAGGUCGUGAUUAAGGAAGACUUUGAGUACACUCUGUAUGAAGCUGUCACCAUACCUGAUGCUAUU